rnacentral:lncRNA from 1 species
UAAGUAAGCACAUGCAACCAAAGAGAAGGUUGUUUUAUUUCCAAUGUGCACAUGAUUAAGUAGUAAACACAUCCAAUGGAAGGCAUGGUAUAAGGAUUUCCAAUGUUGCUGGGAUGGUACAAGGAUUUCCAAUCGUAGAAGCACACCGAAUAGACAGGAGGUUUCUUUGGUUUCCCAAUGUAAAACUCAAUAUAUAUAGUAGUGCUCUAUCCUAAAUACUC